CGGAGGAUCCGAGCGUUAUCCGGAUUUAUUGGGUUUAAAGGGUGCGUAGGCGGCCUGUUAAGUCAGGGGUGAAAGACGGUAGCUCAACUAUCGCAGUGCCCUUGAUACUGAUGGGCUUGAAUGUACUAGAGGUAGGCGGAAUGUGACAAGUAGCGGUGAAAUGCAUAGAUAUGUCACAGAACACCAAUUGCGAAGGCAGCUUACUAUGGUAUUAUUGACGCUGAGGCACGAAAGCGUGGGGAUCAAACAGGAUUAGAUACCCUGGUAGUCCACGCCCUAAACGAUGAAUACUCGAUGUUAGCGAUAUACAGUUAGCGUCAAAGCGAAAGCGUUAAGUAUUCCACCUGGGGAGUACGCCCGCAAGGGUG
rnacentral:rRNA from 1 species